rnacentral:rRNA from 1 species
UAGAAAGUUACUUCGGUACAUCGGUGACAGGUGGUGCAUGGUUGUCGUCAGCUCGUGUCGUGAGAUGUUGGGUUAAGUCCCGCAACCGAGCGCAACCCCUAUUGUUAGUUGCCAUCAUUCAGUUGGGCACUCUAGCGAGACUGCCAGUGAUAAACUGGAGGAAGGUGGGGAUGACGUCAAAUCAUCAUGCCCCUUAUGACCUGGGCUACAAACGUGAUACAAUGGCUGAAACAAAGGGCAGCGAAGCAGUGAUGUGAAGCGAAACCCAAAAAAGCAGUCUCAGUUCGGAUUGAAGUCUGCAACUCGACUUCAUGAAGUCGGAAUCGCUAGUAAUCGCGAAUCAGAACGUCGCGGUGAAUACGUUCUCGGGGUUU